rnacentral:rRNA from 1 species
GGAGGACCAUCUCCCAAGGCUAAAUACUCCCUAGUGACCGAUAGUGAACCAGUACCGUGAGGGAAAGGUGAAAAGCACCCCGGAAGGGGAGUGAAACAGUUCCUGAAACCGUGUGCCUACAAGUAGUUAGAGCCCGUUAAUGGGUGAUAGCGUGCCUUUUGUAGAAUGAACCGGCGAGUUACGAUUUGUUGCAAGGUUAAGCGGAAAAAGCGGAGCCGUAGCGAAAGCGAGUCUGAAUAGGGCGCAUAAGUAACAGGUCGUAGACCCGAAACCAGGUGAUCUACCCAUGUCCAGGAUGAAGGUAAGGUAAUACUUACUGGAGGUCCGAACCCACGCACGUUGAAAAGUGCGGGGAUGAGGUGUGGGUAGCGGAGAAAUUCCAAUCGAACUUGGAGAUAGCUGGUUCUCUCCGAAAUAGCUUUAGGGCUAGCCUCGAGGUAAAGAGUCAUGGAGGUAGAGCACUGUUUGGACUAGGGGCCCUUCUCGGGUUACCGAAUUCAGAUAAACUCCGAAUGCCAUGUACUUAUACUCGGGAGUCAGACUGCGAGUGAUAAGAUCCGUAGUCGAAAGGGAAACAGCCCAGACCACCAGUUAAGGUCCCCAAAUAUAUGUUAAGUGGAAAAGGAUGUGGGGUUGCUUAGACAACCAGGAUGUUGGCUUAGAAGCAGCCACCAUUGAAAGAGUGCGUAAUAGCUCACUGGUCGAGUGACCCCGCGCCGAAAAUGUACCGGGGCUAAACAUAUUACCGAAACUGUGGAUGAACCUCUUUAGAGGUUCGUGGUAGGAGAGCGUUCUAAGGGCGGUGAAGUCAGACCGGAAGGACUGGUGGAGCGCUUAGAAGUGAGAAUGCCGGUAUGAGUAGCGAAAGAAGGGUGAGAAUCCCUUCCACCGAAUAUCUAAGGUUUCCUGAGGAAGGCUCGUCCGCUCAGGGUUAGUCGGGACCUAAGCCGAGGCCGAUAGGCGUAGGCGAUGGACAACAGGUAGAGAUUCCUGUACCAGUGCUAAUUGUUUAACCGAUGGGGUGACACAGAAGGAUAGGGAAUCGCACGAAUGGAAAUGUGCGUCCAAGCAGUGAGUGUGAGAAGUAGGCAAAUCCGCUUCUCGCGAAGCAUGAGCUGUGAUGGGGAAGGAAAUUAAGUACGGAAGUUCCUGAUUUCACGCUGUCAAGAAAAGCCUCUAGGAAGAGUAGUACUGCCCGUACCGCAAACCGACACAGGUAGAUGAGGAGAGAAUCCUAAGGUGAGCGAGAGAACUCUCGUUAAGGAACUCGGCAAAAUGACCCCGUAACUUCGGGAGAAGGGGUGCUCUAUUAGGGUGCAAGCCCGAGAGAGCCGCAGUGAAUAGGCCCAGGCGACUGUUUAGCAAAAACACAGGUCUCUGCAAAACCGUAAGGUGACGUAUAGGGGCUGACGCCUGCCCGGUGCUGGAAGGUUAAGAGGAGUGCUUAGCUUCGGCGAAGGUACGAAUUGAAGCCCCAGUAAACGGCGGCCGUAACUAUAACGGUCCUAAGGUAGCGAAAUUCCUUGUCGGGUAAGUUCCGACCCGCACGAAAGGCGCAACGAUCUGGGCACUGUCUCAACGAGAGACUCGGUGAAAUUAUAGUACCUGUGAAGAUGCAGGUUACCCGCGACAGGACGGAAAGACCCCGUGGAGCUUUACUGCAACCUGAUAUGGAAUGUUUGUACCGCUUGUACAGGAUAGGUAGGAGCCGAAGAGACGUGUGCGCUAGCAUACGAGGAGGCAAUGGUGGGAUACUACCCUGGCUGUAUGACCAUUCUAACCCGCCACGCUUAGCGCGUGGGGAGACAGUGUCAGGUGGGCAGUUUGACUGGGGCGGUCGCCUCCUAAAGAGUAACGGAGGCGCCCAAAGGUUCCCUCAGAAUGGAUGGAAAUCAUUCGCAGAGUGUAAAGGCACAAGGGAGCUUGACUGCGAGACUGACAAGUCGAGCAGGGACGAAAGUCGGGCUUAGUGAUCCGGUGGUUCCGCAUGGAAGGGCCAUCGCUCAACGGAUAAAAGCUACCCCGGGGAUAACAGGCUUAUCUCCCCCAAGAGUCCACAUCGACGGGGAGGUUUGGCACCUCGAUGUCGGCUCGUCGCAUCCUGGGGCUGUAGUCGGUCCCAAGGGUUGGGCUGUUCGCCCAUUAAAGCGGCACGCGAGCUGGGUUCAGAACGUCGUGAGACAGUUCGGUCCCUAUCCGUCGCGGGCGCAGGAAAUUUGAGAGGAGCUGUCCUUAGUACGAGAGGACCGGGAUGGACACACCGCUGGUGUACCAGUUGUUCCGCCAGGAGCAUCGCUGGGUAGCUAUGUGUGGCAGGGAUAAACGCUGAAAGCAUCUAAGCGUGAAGCCCCCCUCAAGAUGAGAUUUCCCAUUUCUUCGGAAAGUAAGAUCCCUGAAAGAUGAUCAGGUAGAUAGGUUUGGAGUGGAAGUGUAGCGAUACAUGGAGCGGACAAAUACUAAUCGAUCGAGGACUUAACCAA